CAACUCUAUGCGGUGGAUCACUCGGCUCGUGCGUCGAUGAAGAGCGCAGCCAGGUGCGUGGAUUAAUGUGAAU
rnacentral:rRNA from 1 species